UACGGAGGGUGCGAGCGUUGUCCGGAAUUAUUGGGCGUAAAGAGCUCGUAGGCGGUCUGUCGCGUCGGUCGUGAAAACUUGGGGCUUAACCCUGAGCUUGCGGUCGAUACGGGCAUGACUGGAGUUCGGUAGGGGAGACUGGAAUUCCUGGUGUAGCGGUGAAAUGCGCAGAUAUCAGGAGGAACACCGGUGGCGAAGGCGGGUCUCUGGGCCGAUACUGACGCUGAGGAGCGAAAGCGUGGGGAGCGAACAGG
rnacentral:rRNA from 1 species